rnacentral:rRNA from 1 species
GGACUACCAGGGUAUCUAAUCCUGUUCGCUCCCCACGCUUUCGCGUCUCAGCGUCAGUACCGUACUAGAGAGCCGCCUUAGCCACGGGUGUUCUUCCUGAUAUCUGCGCAUUUCACCGCUACACCAGGAAUUCCACUCUCCUCUUCCGGACUCUAGCCAUGCGGUUUCCAUCGGCGUCUCGAGGUUGAGCCUCGAGUUUUCACAACGGACCUGCAUGGCCGCCUACACGCUCUUUACGCCCAAUAAAUCCGGACAACGCUUGCCCCCUACGUAUUACCGCGGCUGCUGGCAC